GGCAGCCACUGUCCGGUGUGGUCGCAGAAUAUAAAAUCCAACUAUUUGCCACUGGCAUCGCAUUGUUGGUCUUGUUGCCGGGUGUGCAAUGGAGCGUGUGUAUUCAAAUGCGAUGGCCCCGCAGCGACGACGCUUUCUUUGUGUCUCUUCGGUAUUUAAUCAAAAAUCGAAAAAGAGAGGAGCAGAAAAAAAACACACACAGACCGUGGAAUACAAAAAACGAGACGAGCACACAAAAAUAGCGACAAAUCAACCGAAAAUUAUAAAAGAAAAGAAAGAACUCGACAAAUCGAUUGUGGAAUCAAUGCAAUAAAUUAACUUGAAUUUGGUUUUCGCUUUGCCAGCCGAUUUCGAUAAAAUAAAAAUAAACCAAAAAAAAAACAAACAGAGGAAAAAACACAAGAAGAAAUAAAUGAAAUAUCGUAAAACAAAAGGCCCAGCGGGCCAACCGGUGGAAGCCCAUUCCGAGCCCGAAUCCGAAUCCGAGCUCCACAUCACGCCAUGAAAUAUGACCAGAAUUUGGCCAGGUUGCCGUUGCCGUUGCCGAGCAGCCCAAAAAAGAAAAAAGAAGAAACCUUUACCUGUCUGUCCACCAGCGGCCGCUUGUAAAUGAAAUCCUUUUUGGGCGAGUAGAGCUCCGGCGGUAUGCCUUUGUAGGAGUACCGCAGGCCGGCAUCCUCAAGGUCGUUCGGUGCCAGUGUCCCACGCAGACAGCUCUCGACAUCGUUCGCAUCUUCGAACGGCUCCUCCUCCGGACCCGCCUCCGUCUCCGGCGAGUCGCAGAUCGUGGUGCUGUUCGUCUGGUUGCUGCGGCCCGAUGUCGUCGAUCGGAGAGUGGCGCUCCCACAGUCAUGCGCAUAGUCGUCCAGAGCGCCUGCGCGACCGUUCAGCAGCGAUACGCAUCGCUCGGGCUCUGUCGCACUUGUCAUCGACAUGUUGGAUGCGGAAGAGCUAUCUAGAUAUCGAUCGGUGGCAGCACGUGCAAAAAUGCGCGCGAAAUCGGGCUCAGGUUCGUUGCCACGCACGUUGCGUAUGUGUGUGGUUCCGUUCCGUUCCGUUCCAGACCGUUAACGUUGCUGUUGCUGUUGCUGUUGACGUCGACGCCGCACGCGCACUCACGCACCCGC